GGCUGGAUGGCCCUUACGGCAUCCGGAAGCCCUAGUGCUGUCACUAGCACCUUGCUGGCUGAAGAAAGCAAAGCCAACCCCAUCAUGCUUCCCACAGCGAGCCUUGGCGAUGUGGUGAUUUCUAGUGUUCCCCGUGAUCUCCAGUUUUGUGUUGUGCUACAUUCCUGAGCAAACAAAUCUUCUUUUCAAGACUUUGGCAUAUGGAUAUUGCCUAGGAAAGAUGAUUUCUCUGUCAAGCCCCAAGGACAAUUAUGGAAAUAUCUAUGUCAUAGUACUCUCACUAUGAGUAAAAUAAAGAUAAAAUAGCCAACAUUAGAUGCAAAA
rnacentral:lncRNA from 1 species